AGCCGCGGUAAUACGGAGGGUGCAAGCGUUAAUCGGAAUUACUGGGCGUAAAGCGCAUGCAGGUGGUUUGUUAAGUCAGAUGUGAAAGCCCUGGGCUCAACCUAGGAAUCGCAUUUGAAACUGACAAGCUAGAGUACUGUAGAGGGGGGUAGAAUUUCAGGUGUAGCGGUGAAAUGCGUAGAGAUCUGAAGGAAUACCGGUGGCGAAGGCGGCCCCCUGGACAGAUACUGACACUCAGAUGCGAAAGCGUGGGGAGCAAACAGGAUUAGAUACC
rnacentral:rRNA from 1 species